rnacentral:rRNA from 1 species
ACGUAGGGGGCAAGCGUUAUCCGGAUUUACUGGGUGUAAAGGGAGCGUAGACGGAUUAGCAAGUCUGAUGUGAAAGGCAGGGGCUCAACCCCUGGACUGCAUUGGAAACUGUCAGUCUUGAGUGCCGGAGAGGUAAGCGGAAUUCCUAGUGUAGCGGUGAAAUGCGUAGAUAUUAGGAGGAACACCAGUGGCGAAGGCGGCUUACUGGACGGCAACUGACGUUGAGGCUCGAAAGCGUGGGGAGCAAACAG